UGCACAAAAUGCAACACAAAAAUUCACGCGCGUGGUUUUUUUCGCGAGUCAAACGCGCCCCACGCGCUACACUGACGCGCGUUUCAGGCGUUUUGGCGUUUUCGCGACGCAAAUCUAUGGCAAGCCAUUAGUGCCAAAAUUCGCCACUUUUCUAACCCGUUUGAUUAAGAAACGGCGUAAAAAACGCCGUUUAAUUAUUCAAAACGCCGAAAAAAACGGCGUUCUGUUUCGACAAACGCCGUUUUUUCCGACUCUCACAUGGCGCCCUGAACGCACCAUCCGAGUGACGUAAAAAGCGGCGUUCAAAGACACACGGAAACGCCGUUUUUUACGCCACUCGGCAGAAAACGCCGUUCAAAGAUGCAUAAAGACGGCGUUUUUUACGGCGUUCUGUGCCAGCUGUAACGGCGUUUAAAACGGCGUUUUAUUGAAAUUAUGCAGGGCACUCCCCAUGGUUCCCUCAUCCAAUUACUUUCAACUCAUUUCACCCAAUCAAAGAAGAGGAAGUGCAGACCACACUAAUGCAUCACCGAUUCACCUUGCUGCUAAGUGAUUGCCUAUUCAGUACCAGUGCUUGUCACAGUAUUGACUUGUAUUAUAAUCCCACUAUGCAUUUUGAUGUGUUUAAGGCAUGAUCAAGCAAACAAACGACAGAAUACUUUUUCUGAAACCUUAACUGUGAUACCUGUUAUGGCAGCUAACAGACACUCGGCGCAUGGCUCCUUUGUUUACGUUAGGGAUCAGCUGUUAGCGCUGCGCCCUGCAGCUGCGCUACCGGCAGACAGACCCUACGUCCCCAGUGAGGGAAGAGACGGGGGUGAUGUCUCCCGAGAAGGACACCUUACACACCAUCUCUCCUUCCUGUAAUCACUGUAAACGUGAGAUCGCUCCUGAUAUGAUUGAGGAGCUAAUGACGCUAACCCGGUCACAGUGGCAGUACCCCGACACUGCCCGGUACUCCCUCUGUGAGUAGGCUGCCCGGCUUCCAGCUGCUGCGGCCGGACAAGACCAGAGACAGCGGUGAGAGGAAAGGAGGGGACUGGGCAGUGUUUGUUAAAGACAGUUGUGGUAUCCCUGGGCACAUUGCUGUGAAAGAACAACUCUGCAACAGAGACAUUGAGCUAUUAGCCGUUAGCAUCCGUGGAGGCAGCCUGUGACUCUCUGUGGUCCGCAGACUGCAGACGCAAUCUCCGAGAGCUCUUCUUCUAAUAUCAGGGGACUUUAAUCAUGUCUCGCUGGACUCCACACUGCCCACCUUCACCCAUGUGGAGUCCAGCGAGACAUGAUUAAAGUCCCCUGAUAUUAGAAGAAGAGCUCUCGGAGAUUGCGUCUGCAGUCUGCGGACCACAGAGAGUCACAGGCUGCCUCCACGGAUGCUAACGGCUAAUAGCUCAAUGUCUCUGUUGCAGAGUUGUUCUUUCACAGCAAUGUGCCCAGGGAUACCACAACUGUCUUUAACAAAC
ensembl:lncRNA